rnacentral:rRNA from 1 species
AAUCAACGCUGGCGGCGUGCCUAACACAUGCAAGUCGCACGAGAAAGGGGAGCAAUCCCUGAGUAAAGUGGCGCACGGGUGAGUAACACGUGAAUCAUCUACCUCCGAGUGGGGAAUAACUGAGAGAAAUCUUAGCUAAUACCGCAUAACACUUACGAGUCAAAGCAGCAAUGCGCUUGGAGAGGAGUUCGCGGCCGAUUAGUUAGUUGGCGGGGUAAUGGCCCACCAAGACGAUGAUCGGUAUCCGGCCUGAGAGGGCGCACGGACACACUGGAACUGAAACACGGUCCAGACUCCUACGGGAGGCAGCAGUGGGGAAUUUUGCGCAAUGGGGGAACCCUGACGCAGCAACGCCGCGUGGAGGAUGAAGUAUCUUGGUACGUAAACUCCUUUCGAUUGGGAAGAUAAUGAC